ensembl:lncRNA
CCCCUCGCCAGCAGGAACGACUCUCAGCGGCCAGGCAGCAGGGCGGCACGGCCAAAGGCCGAGAUCCCAACCCCACAUCUCUCAGCACCACGCCUCUGAAAGGCCGGGCCGAAGGUACCCACCUGAGUACAGGGGGUCUCUCAGAACUCAUCCUCCUAAGCGCAGGGGGCACGCACAGCCCUGACUACAGGACGGUACCCCACGCCGCACCACGUCCAAAAGCCCCACGGAGCACGCAGCUCCUGCCAACGCCCGAGGUACAGGCGGGCCCGCCCGGCCGCAGCACAAUCAUCACCACGUCUUCAGGAGCCCAGGGAACAACCUCUACCCACACAGCGGGGAAGUCGCCCCAGCCACAAGUAGCACCUCAACCUGCACCCUCUAACGGGCCAGGGAGGGGUCACUCCCACCAGCUGGCUAAAGCAGCCGGCUGCACCAACGCAGCCUCCCCAGACCUGAUUACAGGGGGGGCGGGCCGCUCCGGGGACAGAGGGCUCCACAGUUUGUGACACACGCCCCGAGUACGGGGCUGUCACGCUGGCGUGUCGCCAGCAGGACAGGGGGCCACACAGGCACAGACCCAAACCCUGGAUACAGGGCGGCCAUGGCCACGCAACUACCACACAGCUCUGUUCUGCCCUAGGAAAAAAGGGGCAAGACAAAAGGGGCUGCACGGAGGCCUCAGACCUCAACGCGCCAAGGGGAUUCCCAGGUGACUUAAGGCCAAGUGGCGUGACACACGCCCCGAGUACAGGGCCAACACACGGGCAGGGCUUUCCAGAACGGAAGGAGAAGGCAGUGCAGCCAAGGCCUGGGGAAAUAAAACCCCGUACCCACGAGCAGCAGACAAGAGCCUCUGUCCCGCCCCGGGGCUGCACGGAGGCCUCAGACCUCAACGCGCCAAGGGGAUUCCCAGGUGACUUAAGGCCAAGUGGCGUGACACACGCCCCGAGUACAGGGCCAACACACGGGCAGGCCACCAGCAGGCAUCAGCGCUGAGCGGCCAGAGGAACAGUGGCAGGGGAAGGGCGCUACCCUGCUUACAGGGUGCCCGUGGGGUCCAGCGAGCUCCAUUUCCCACUCGGGUGCGGAGAAAGCGGCUCUCGCCCUCCUUACAGGGGCCCACCUUCCCCAGGCAGCCAAAGGAGCAACAAGGCAAAAGGCCAACUACAGCAAAGACCCGAGCCCUGCUUACAGGGAGGUCGCCCAGCACAAAGCCGGCCUGGUCACCUAAAGUGCCGGCAACGCUCUACUGCGACAUGACUAUGCCCCUGGUGACAGGGAGAUGCUUUUGCCCAGGCCGCCUCUCCCUUAGCCCAGCCGCAGUCUUCUGCUUCCUCUUCUUGCUCCCUCUGCUUGCAUCCUCCUGCCGCCCGGUUCCACACGUGGCUUCUUCCGCCGUCUUCUGCGGGAGCUCCUGAAAAGGAAGGCAGGCACCAUUAGACCCGAGAAGCACCAACUCCCCCGCCCUAAGGAAACGGGCAACCCAACAUCCCAACGCAGCUGGCACACGAGCGCCCCGCCAAGGAAGACCUCGCACCUCCAGCACCAACUCCUCCCAGUAAAAACAAAACAAAGAAAAAAAACCCGAAAACCAAACAAAAACCACACACCCCCUGCAUGCAGUGGAAUUAUUCUUUCUUGUGACUGCCAGCGAGGUGUACUUCCAUGCUUUAUUGUCACUUGAGCAUCGCCCCAUGUACAGGGGAGUUCUGUUGUCCAAGGCUGAUUUUCUCUUUACCUCUAUUUAGAGCUCCUCUUUUUCGUUUGUCAUCCAGACUUCCUCAGUUUCAUUUGUUUAUCUUCCAUUAGUUGUUGGUAACUUAUCAAAUUGCAAGUAAGAUUGUUAGCUGACAACAUGUAGUGGCAUGCUUACUUCUGAGUUACAAACUGGAGUUUUACCUUUCGUUCCCCUCCCCUCCCCAUCUUCUCCCCUCAGUCCCGAGGGCAGUUUUGCCAACGCCCCCCGUCCCCGCCCAC